CCUACGGGGGGCAGCAGUGAGGAAUAUUGGUCAAUGGGCGCAAGCCUGAACCAGCCAAGUAGCGUGAGGGAUGACUGCCCUACGGAUUGUAAACUUCUUUUAUAAGGGAAUAAAGUGCGGCACGUGUGCCUUUUUGUAUGUACUUUAUGAAUAAGGAUCGGCUAACUCCGUGCCAGCAGCCGCGGUAAUACGGAGGAUCCGAGCGUUAUCCGGAUUUAUUGGGUUUAAAGGGAGCGUAGGUGGGUUGUUAAGUCAGCUGUGAAAGUUUGUGGCUCAACCGUAAAAUUGCAAUUGAUACUGGUAGGCUUGAGUAUAGUUGAGGCAGGCGGAAUGCGUGGUGUAGCGGUGAAAUGCUUAGAUAUCACGCAGAACCCCGAUUGCGAAGGCAGCCUACUAAGCCGUGACUGACACUGAUGCUCGAAAGUGUGGGUAUCAAACAGGAUUAGAUACCCUAGUAGUC
rnacentral:rRNA from 1 species